rnacentral:rRNA from 1 species
UACGGAGGGUGCAAGCGUUGUCCGGAUUUAUUGGGUUUAAAGGGUGCGUAGGCGGCCCUGUAAGUCAGUGGUGAAAUGCGGCAGCUUAACUGUCGAACUGCCAUUGAUACUGCAGGGCUUGAGUACAGACGAGGUAGGCGGAAUUUAUGGUGUAGCGGUGAAAUGCAUAGAUACCAUAAAGAACACCUAUUGCGAAGGCAGCUUACUAGGCUGUAACUGACGCUGAGGCACGAAAGCGUGGGGAGCGACAGG